ensembl:misc_RNA Metazoa_SRP Metazoan signal recognition particle RNA
GGCAGGCAUGGUGGCGGGUGCCUGUAAUCCCAGCUACUUGGAGGCUGAGGCAGGAGAAUCGCUUGUACCCAGGAGGUGGAGGUUGCAGUGAGCCGAGAUUGCGCCACUGCACUCAGCCUGGGUGACAGAGCGAGACUCUGUCUCAA